UACGUAGGGGGCAAGCGUUGUCCGGAUUUAUUGGGCGUAAAGAGCGUGUAGGCGGCCAUGUAGGUCCGUUGUGAAAACUCGAGGCUCAACCUCGAGACGCCGAUGGAAACCAUGUGGCUAGAGUCCGGAAGAGGAGAGUGGAAUUCCCGGUGUAGCGGUGAAAUGCGCAGAUAUCGGGAAGAACACCUAUGGCGAAGGCAGCUCUCUGGGACGGUACUGACGCUGAGACGCGAAAGCGUGGGGAGCGAACAGG
rnacentral:rRNA from 1 species